GCGGGGGUUGUCGAGCUUGGCCAAAGGCGCUGGCUUGAGGGGCCAGUCCCGUAGGGGUUCCUGGGUUCAAAUCCCAGCCCCCGCA
rnacentral:tRNA from 3 species